rnacentral:lncRNA from 1 species
UCUGGUGCUAGCUUCCGGUUGAAGGAAAUUGUGGGGGGACAAACUCUUAGAAAGACAAUAACAAGAAAGCUAGCAAUAAUUUGAUCAUGUUUUUAUGGUUUGUACUGAUUGCAAAUAAGGAAAAAACAAGAAGAGUAAAAUGAGCUACGAAAAAGAAAUUCCAAGCCCAUACAAACUAUAAGUCAGCAUUUGUUUGAGCUAAAUAGCCACCCACGAAACAAGCCUCAAAUUUCCUUGUGCACCACACAAGUGUCACACCACACAGGUCGGAACCCUCGUGACAAAGUUUUACACACAAAAAAAAACACUUUUUUUACAAACUACUAAGCUC